rfam:Triticum aestivum genome assembly, contig: Triticum_aestivum_CS42_TGACv1_scaffold_361372_4DS
AUUCUACUCCCUCUGAUCCAUAUUACUUGUUGCUCAAACGGAUGUAUCUAGCACUGAAAUACAACUAGAUACAUCCGUUUGAGCGACAAAUAAUAUGGAUCGGAGGGAGUAUUAA